AUUGAACGCUAGCGGGAUGCCUUACACAUGCAAGUCGAACGGAGUGGCGAAAGGGUGAGUAAUGUAUCGGAACGUGCCCAGUAGCGGGGGAUAACUACGCGAAAGCGUAGCUAAUACCGCAUACUCUUGGAGCGGCCGAUGUCGGAUUAGCUGGUUGGUGGGGUAAUGGGUCACCAUGGCGACGAGCCGUAGCUGGUUUGAGAGGACGACCAGCCACACUGGAACUGAGACACGGCCCAGACUCCUACGGGAGGCAGCAGGGGGGAAUUUUGGACAAGGGGGGAAACCCUGAUCCAGCCAUCCCGCGUGUGCGAUGAAGGCCUUCGGGUUGUAAAGCACUUUUAGCAGGAAAGCGGUACCUGCAGAAUAAGCACCGGCUAACUACGUGCCAGCAGCCGCGGUAAUUC
rnacentral:rRNA from 1 species